UUGCUUCUCUUGAGAGCGGCGGACGGGUGAGUAAUGCCUAGGAAUCUGCCUGGUAGUGGGGGAUAACGUCCGGAAACGGACGCUAAUACCGCAUACGUCCUACGGGAGAAAGCAGGGGACCUUCGGGCCUUGCGCUAUCAGAUGAGCCUAGGUCGGAUUAGCUAGUUGGUGGGGUAAUGGCUCACCAAGGCGACGAUCCGUAACUGGUCUGAGAGGAUGAUCAGUCACACUGGAACUGAGACACGGUCCAGACUCCUACGGGAGGCAGCAGUGGGGAAUAUUGGACAAUGGGCGAAAGCCUGAUCCAGCCAUGCCGCGUGUGUGAAGAAGGUCUUCGGAUUGUAAAGCACUUUAAGUUGGGAGGAAGGGCAGUAAAUUAAUACUUUGCUGUUUUGACGUUACCGACAGAAUAAGCACCGGCUAACUCUGUGCCAGCAGCCGCGGUAAUACAGAGGGUGCAAGCGUUAAUCGGAAUUACUGGGCGUAAAGCGCGCGUAGGUGGUUCGUUAAGUUGGAUGUGAAAUCCCCGGGCUCAACCUGGGAACUGCAUUCAAAACUGACGAGCUAGAGUAUGGUAGAGGGUGGUGGAAUUUCCUGUGUAGCGGUGAAAUGCGUAUAUAUAGGAGGGAACACCAGUGGCAAAAGGCGA
rnacentral:rRNA from 1 species